AACGAACGCUGGCGGCAUGCCUAACACAUGCCAGUCGAACGAGACCUUCGGGUCUAGUGGCGCAUGGGUGCGUAACGCGUGGGAACCUGCCCUUAGGUUCGGAAUAACUCCCCGAAAGGGGUGCUAAUACCGGAUAAUGUCUUCGGACCAAAGAUUUAUCGGCUUUGGAUGGGCCCGCGUUGGAUUAGCUAGUUGGUAGGGUAAAAGCAUACCAAGGCGACGAUCCAUAGCUGGUCAGAGAGGAUGAUCAGCCACACUGGGACUGAGACACGGCCCAGACUCCUACGGGAGGCAGCAGUGGGGAAUAUUGGACAGUGGGCGAAAGCCUGAUCCAGCAAUGCCGCGUGAGUGAUGAAGGCCUUAGGGUUGUAAAGCUCUUUUACCCGGGAUGAUAAUGACAGUACCGGGAGAAUAAGCCCCGGCUAACUCCGUG
rnacentral:rRNA from 1 species